AUUGAACGCUGGCGGCAUGCUUUACACAUGCAAGUCGAACGGCAGCGCGGGCUUCGGCCUGGCGGCGAGUGGCGAACGGGUGAGUAAUACAUCGGAACGUGCCCAGAAGUGGGGGAUAGCUCUGCGAAAGCCGGGUUAAUACCGCAUACGACCUGAGGGUGAACGCGAGGGAUCUUCGGACCCCGCUCUAUUGGAGCGGCCGAUGGCAGAUUAGCUAGUCGGUGGGGUAAAGGCCUACCAAGGCGACGAUCUGUAGCUGGUCUGAGAGGACGACCAGCCACACUGGGACUGAGAGACGGCCCAGACUCCGACGGGGACCAGGAGCGGGGACUUUUGGACGAUGGGAGAAAGCCUGAUACAGCAAUGCCGGGUGUGUGAUGAAGGCCUUCGGGUUGUAAAGCACUUUUGGCGGGAACGAAAAGGACUGUGCCAAUACCACGGUUCGAUGACGGUACCCGCAGAAUAAGCACCGGCUAACUACGUG
rnacentral:rRNA from 1 species